CUAUUUCUCUCUCUUACACAUCCUUCUUUCUUCCUUCUUCCUUCUUCAUUCUUCCUCUUCUUCUUCUUCUUCUUCUUCUUCUUCCUCUUUUUCUUAUGUCUUCUACCUCGUCUUUUUCUUCCUUCUUUCUUCUUCGUUCUUUCUAUUAACAAUAUCGCUAACGAAGCCCUAGCCGAAGUCAAAAAAGACAUCAAAGUCUUUCUACAGAUGUCGGGUUGCUCUCGUCGCAUUUGUGAACCGACAUCCACCAUUUGGGGUCUGAAUAAUUCACACAUGCUAAUUAAAUGGUCAUUGGAGAGAGGUUGUCUAAGGAAGAAAUUAGUGGUUUGA